rnacentral:rRNA from 1 species
UACAGAGGGGGCAAGCGUUGUUCGGAAUUACUGGGCGUAAAGGGCGCGUAGGCGGCCCGCUAAGUCGAACGUGAAAUCCCCGAGCUCAACUCGGGAACUGCGUCCGAUACUGGCGGGCUUGAAUCCGGGAGAGGGAUGCGGAAUUCCCGGUGUAGCAGUGAAAUGCGUAGAGAUCGGGAGGAACAUCAGUUGCGAAGGCGGCUCUCUGGACCAGCACUGACACUGAGGCACGAAAGCGUGGGGAGCAAACAGG